CUUGAACGCUGGCGGCAGGCCUAACACAUGCAAGUCGAGCGGAGCGGCGGACGGGUGAGUAAUGCCUAGGAAUCUGCCUGGUAGUGGGGGAUAACGUCCGGAAACGGGCGCUAAUACCGCAUACUAUCAGAUGAGCCUAGGUCGGAUUAGCUAGUUGGUGGGGUAAAGGCCUACCAAGGCGACGAUCCGUAACCGGUCUGAGAGGAUGAUCAGUCACACGGGAACUGAGACACGGUCGAGACUCCUACGGGAGGCAGCAGUGGGGAAUAUUGGACAAGGGGCGAAAGCCUGAUCCAGCCAUGCCGCGUGUGUGAAGAAGGUCUGCGGAGUGUAAAGCACUUUAAGUAGGGAGGCGUUACCAACAGAGUAAGGACCGGCUAACUUCGUGCCAGCAGCCGCGGUAAUUC
rnacentral:rRNA from 1 species